AUUCCAGCUCCAAUAGCGUAUAUUAAAGUUGUUGCGGUUAAAAAGCUCGUAGUUGGAUUUCUGCUGAGGACGAUCGGUCCGCCCACUGGGUGAGUAUCUGGCUCGGCCUUGGCAUCUUCUUGGAGAACGUUGCUGCACUUGACUGUGUGGUGCGGUAUCCAGGACUUUUACUUUGAGGAAAUUAGAGUGUUUCAAGCAGGCGCACGCCUUGAAUACAUUAGCAUGGAAUAAUAAGAUAGGACCUUGGUUCUAUUUUGUUGGUUUCUAGAGCUGAGGUAAUGAUUAAUAGGGAUAGUUGGGGGUGCUAGUAUUGCUUGGCCAGAGGUGAAAUUCUUGGAUUCAAGCAAGACUAACUUAUGCGAAAGCAUUCACCAAGGAUGUCUUCAUUA
rnacentral:rRNA from 1 species